GACGUUCGAUUACAUCAAUCACGUUACUAAACUCUUCCGCUUUCGGUCUACGAGGAUACGUGGACACACCCUCCCGUCUCGUUGCUAUGCAUCUCCUGGAUAGAUCUUGCGUGAUUGUAGGAAUUUUUUUUGAAUUACUACGUUCCCCAACAUAGACCACCAACCAUCUAGUACACCAAUAAGACGACGCACAUCUGGAAUAGGGAUAUCGCGGUACUAAAACUCACGGGUCAAGUGCGUCAUUUUUGCAUCAACUAGACAGGAGCAUCUACUCUAGGAAGCAACCAGGAAUUGAUGAAGAAGAAACACAUGGAGAGUUACCCCCGAUGGUGGUGUGCGUUCGUUGCGGGAGCAGUUACAAACGAGGAAGCACGUAGUUAGUGCCUGAAACAUCCUCUCUCGCGGGUCAUGGGCACAACGCAUCGGACACCCCUGGUUGUUCACAUCCAACGAUAGAUGACUAGUCUGAUGGAUGACACCAUCAGUAAUCUGAUGCCUAUUUGAUAUUUCAUCGGUCAAUUGAGUCUAAUGAUCUUUAUCGGAAAAAAAACUGAGUCUAAUGAUAAGCAAACAUUAAUGCAACUCCAACUAUAGAUGGUAGUAAGACAAUAAUUAGGUUCUUCAUAUAUUGCAUUAAUGUACGACAAGAAGAUAAGGACAAGAAUUGAUUAACCUCCCCCUUAAUCCUCCCAAGAACCACUAUAUAUACUAUGAACACCAUCACACGAAACACAAGCAUUAGACCAAAAAUACGACACACUAUCUAGAAGAAGAGGAUCAAUUAGCUAACUACAGUACUCAUUAGCCAUGGCACAUGACAGGAACAACACACAGUUUCUGCGCCUGGCCGUAGCUUUUUUGUUCAUGUCGGUUUUCCUGUCCUCCUGCAAUGCAGAGGACAACGGCUACUAUCCCAACAGAUACUGCGUAGAGGAGUGGAGUUGCAGCAAGCCGGUGGGAGACAACGACCAGCUCAGGUGCCGAAACUUCUGCGUAAGCAAAGGCUACAACUUUCUCAGGAGCUACUGCAAGCACGACCCCUACCCGGAGUGCUGCUGCCAUAAGUGAUCUCAAUUCGGUGACUUUGGGGUCAUCUGCGGAUGAUGAUGCUUUUCAUGUGUUACUUAGAAAGCUGUAGUUGUUUUCCUUUUUUGUGUGUGUUCAUCUCACCCAUUGUAAUCAUCGGAGCAAUUCAUCAUGAUUGUUUGAGGAAUAAGGAUGAUUAGUUUCUGUCA